AGCAGUGCAAGAAAGCAAGACGGGGAACUGUAAAUAGAGCUUUCUGAUGCCGUUCUGUUAGUAAUGAAGUUGAUCCGAAGUUCCUCUUGCACACACGCUGGGCGCUGUACUUCAUCAGGGGCUGGAAAAUCCAUUAUUCAAAGCUGAACUAGAAAAGUGUUAGGCAGGCUCCCUCUCCAUAGGUUAGGGAUCCUCAAGACUCUGCAAGGCAAUCCACCAUUGAGCUGCAAGAGCAUACUCAUGAGCAGAGAAGCUGGAGUCAGCAUGGAGACACAGAGCCUCCCAGCAAAGGUGAGCUUGUGAGUUGGCAGAUUCCUUCAGGAGAGUGCUCUCUGAUGGGGACCAAGGCAGCUGACCACAUGUCAGUAAGGCAGUGUCCUUUGUUCAUGGACUCAGUCACUGGCACUGGCAAUCCCCAGGAACAGUACUUCACUGGGAAUCUGUAAGAAACGUGCAACUACUAUGAGUGGAACAAAAGAUGUCUUAAAAAGAGACACUAUUUAGACUAACCAGUGAGUAAGCUUUUCAAGUGGACUGACUGACGUGGCUGAUGUUUGAGUACAUGAUGGUCACUAUUGCAAAUCACAAGCACUCUUACAAAUGUUGCACAUUGACCAGGAGAGCAUCAGGAUGGCUUCUCAUAUGUGUGGUCGCUGACUGCUUGCAGAAAGAAGCAAUCAUUCUGCACAGUGUCCCAGCAUGGCAUUUGCUCAGCAUGUCCAGGGAGUCCAAGUUGCUCAGCCUCUCAUCUCUGUUAUCUUUCAUGGUCACUACUCAGAUUCUAUGACUGAUGAGAUUACCUUGACUCCCCUCACUUCAGGUCUAUAACAACCUCUGAUUACUUUCUCUCAACUGGGAGCUGGGUUUGUCCCUGAGUUGCAGUGCUUAGCCAUGGAUACUUUCUGUGCUCUGCUCCAUUAGGACUGCUAGAUGGGCACUUCAGUGGAAGGAAUAAAUAACUCUUUUGCUGAUGCAAGCAGAAACCGUCCAGUACCAGGUUACAGACUUUUCGGAAGGUAGCAGGCUUUUUGGAAGGUUACAGGCCUAUGUUGCUUUCCCCAUACUUAUGCAGCUGACAGAAGUCUUCUAGCACCUUCCACUACUCACCUUACAAAAGCAUUUAUGAAGCUUAUAAGGAGAGAUGCCAGACUUGGAGAAGCUGGGGAUCAAAGGGUCCAUCAUGAUAGACUCCAUCUCUUCUAUGUUUACAGCCGCAAUACAAACCAAGCUGUAACAUCAAAGAUGAAUGCUCAAGCGCUUGAUCUGUAAACACUUAAUAGACAGUUGUCAUAGCUGGCUGGCGGACACAGGCACACGAGAAACCUGCCUUCAAGGGCAGCAGGCUGCCUGCUCUGGCAGCAAGUGGCUAGUGAGGGAAACGCCAAACGCUCCAGCCUUUGCAGGGAGACUGUGGAGCCCAGGGCAUGCACCUCGUCUGGGAGGCACCCAUCUCCACAGCAUCAGCCAGUCCUCUUGUUUUAUAGGAUCCCUGCAUAACAAUUUACAAGUCUGAAGAUAUUGUGUUGAAUAACAGCUCCUAGCAAUUUGUUUAGUGAAGUAUUACCUUUUCAGUGUCUGUGCACAUAAAUCCAACCACUGGCAAAUAAGGGAAUCAUUUUUUGACUUUCAAGGCUAUCUCCUAGGUGAA